AGAGGGCACUGAGCCCAAGCUUUGGUGUUACCUGGCAUAGGGUUUCUUUCUUCUUCUUUGUUUAUAGUAAUAAGCUUAUGCCUAUUUUUCUGUUGUGUUAUCUAUCAUUUUUGUAUUGAUUUGUAGAAGGAGUUUGUUUAGACACAUAAAUGAUUUUGGAUAAAAUACUUACAUUCAAAGUAAUUAACUGCCAUUAUCUGUCCAAGAGAUUGGAUAGAUAGGAAGUUAAGCUUCCGGGAGAUGCCUUGUCAUUUGUGCCAGUGGCCCCACAUUAUUUCUUGAUUAAUUGUGCAAACUGGGGGAAGCUGCUCUCAGAGGCAGUGUGCAGGUGUGCGCUUUGUGAAAUUCCACCAUGGCGUACCGUGACCAGGGCCAGAAAAUGCAGAAGGUUAUGGUGCAGCCCAUCAACCUCAUCUUCAGAUACUUACAAAAUAGAUUGUGGAUUCAGGCGUGGCUCUAUGAGCAAGUGAAUAUGUGGAUAGAAGGCUGUGUCAUUGGUUUUAAUGAGUAUAUGAACCUUGUAUUAGAUGAUGCAGAAGAGAUUCAUUCUAAAACAAAGUCAAGAAAACAACUGGGUCGGAUCAUGCUAAAAGAAGAUAAUAUUACUCUACUCUAAAGUGUCUCCAACUGGAAAUGAUCAAUGAAGUGAGAAAUUUUGGAGAAGGAUACAGUUUGUUUUUAGAUGUCCUUCGUCCAAUAUGAACAUUUAUUCAUAUUGUUUUGAUUACCUUUAUGUUAUUACAAGAUGGCAGUAAAUGCUGUGGGAUUGUUAGUAUUAAAA